rnacentral:lncRNA from 1 species
AAAGGACAUUCAAUUUUUUCAGUAGAUGUUGGUGCUUCAGUUUCUUCGUUAUCCUUUUCUUUUGUCUCGGGAGGGUCAGAAUCAGGUAUGACUUGAGUUUGUUCUGGGACUGGUCGGUCAAUAACUUUUCCACUUCGCAAAGUUAUUAUACUCUUCGCUUGUUCUUUAUGCGAAGUUGAAGAUGAUGCAUUGCUACCGCCAUAGACUUGAGGAUUAGGUUGUGGUUGAGCUGGUAGCUUACCUUUCUCUUGAGC